rnacentral:rRNA from 1 species
UACGAAGGGGGGCUAGCGUUGUUCGGAAUUACUGGGCGUAAAGCGCGCGCAGGCGGUCCUUCAAGUCAGAGGUGAAAGCCCAGAGCUCAACUCUGGAACGGCCUUUGAGACUAGAGGACUAGGGUACGGGAGAGGUGAGUGGAAUUCCGAGUGUAGAGGUGAAAUUCGUAGAUAUUCGGAAGAACACCAGUGGCGAAGGCGGCUCACUGGCCCGUUACCGACGCUCAGGCGCGACAGCGUGGGGGAGCAAACAGG